rnacentral:lncRNA from 10 species
GGAAACUUAACCACUUGGGAAAGUGAAAACAACAAGCUAACCCACAUGUUCACCAUGGAAAACAAUUUUUGUCUUGAAAAACAAGGAACCUUUUCCCUGUGCAGCACCAGUUCCUACUGUGUUUACCAGCCAAUUGGACUGGAACCUGUACACUUGUAUCGUCACAACACAAACUCAAACAGACUCCUUGGCAGCAGUUGCUUUACAAAAUAGAAGGGGACUGGAUCUCCUAACUGCUGGAAAAGGUGGCUUAUGUCUUUUUCUAGAGGAAGAAUGCUGUUUUUAUGUCAACCAAUUAGAAUUAGUAAGGGAUGCCACCCAGAAAUUAGCUGACCAGGCUUCUAAGAUACGACAACAGCUGUCCAAGUCGUGGUCCUCCUGUUCAAAAAUGCUAAUUAGGGGUUCAUGAGUCCUUCCUCUGACUGGCUCGUUGUUAAUUAUACUUGCCUUGGUUUUUGGACCAUAUUUAUUAAAUACAUUAACCAAAUUAAUUUCCUCUCGCCUAGAGACCAUCAAGCUUCAGAUGAUCAUGCAACAAGGUUUCCAGCCAGUUCAGGUGAAGAC